GAAGCCCGCAGACAAAGGAGGACCAGUCUCGCCUUCACAGAAACCCUGGUGCUGCAGUAAAUGUUACCCACUAGCCUGGGGUACUGCCACAUGAACCAUUGUGCUGAUGAAUGGGCCCUGGGACCCACCGAUCCAGGGAGAAGCCUUUAUCAGUGACUACAUGUUACCACAUGGGAAGCCAGGAUUCUGCGGAAUCCGCUGAAUGGCUACUCGUCGUCGGACGCUUUGGCAAUCAAAAGAAUGCAGCCUAGACCUGAGAUCCAGAGCCUGAACCCCAUGAAGAGUGUCACAGGGACAUUUCUUAAUGACAUUUAGUUCCUUGCCCCUCCGUCUCAACGUUUCCAUCCGAAAAUUGGGAACUUGUUCCUGCUCAGCACUUCGUAAGGGAAUGCAGGACAUAGCAUGCCUUUUAUCCAUUCGUGGAGGAGAUGUUCUAUUACAGCAGAGGCAUUUUGCUUUCUUAAACUUGAUUUGGGGGAGUGGAUAUUUAUAUGUAAUCAUUGUAAUGGCAUUUUGAUACUCUCCGGAAAAAAGAAAGUAGUUGAGGGUUGUGUCUAUGUGAAAGUGAAAUACUUCGGUUAGGAUUCCUUUUAUUUUUUUAAUCAAUAAACUAGAGGAAAAGGGAAA